AGAGUUUGAUCCUGGCUCAGGACGAACGCUGGCGGCGUGCUUAACACAUGCAAGUCGAACGGAAAGGCCUCUUCGGAGGUACUCGAGUGGCGAACGGGUGAGUAACACGUGGGCAAUCUGCCCUGCACUUCGGGAUAAGCCUGGGAAACUGGGUCUAAUACCGGAUAGGACCUCAAGACGCAUGUCUUCUGGUGGAAAGCUUUUGCGGUGUGGGAUGGGCCCGCGGCCUAUCAGCUUGUUGGUGGGGUGACGGCCUACCAAGGCGACGACGGGUAGCCGGCCU
rnacentral:rRNA from 1 species